UGUCUUACCAGGCAAAGUUAGA
rnacentral:miRNA from 1 species